UCUUCUCUCCGCGCUAUCGCGGCGGGCUUUGGCCCGUCGAGGAAAGUCCGGACAGCGCAGGGCAAUACACCGGCUAACGGCCGGGGGGCGGGCAACCGUUCACAGACAGUGCCACAGAAAAUAACUGCCUUCAAAGCUUCAGCUUUGGGGGUGAGGGUGAAAAUGUAGGGUAAGAGCCUACGGUGUUGUUCAGUAAUGGGCAAUGCGGGUAAACCUUGUAUGCUGAAAUGCCAUGUAAACCGGUGGCUGAGGGCGGCUCGCCCGAUGAUUCCGCAAGGAGUCAACGCCGGAGGGUAGGCAGAUAGAUCGUGCCAGUAAUGGUACGGCCAGAUAAAUGAUAGCGGUCACCCGCUGCGGCGGGAUUUCCGCCGCAGCGGGUGAAACAGAAUCCGGCUUACAGGAGAGAAGAUUUU
rnacentral:RNase_P_RNA from 1 species